rnacentral:rRNA from 1 species
AUUGAACGCUGGCGGCAUGCCUUACACAUGCAAGUCGAACGGUAACGCGGGGCAACCUGGCGACGAGUGGCGAACGGGUGAGUAAUGUAUCGGAACGUGCCCAGUUGUGGGGGAUAACUGCUCGAAAGAGCAGCUAAUACCGCAUACGACCUGAGGGUGAAAGCGGGGGAUCGCAAGACCUCGCGCAAUUGGAGCGGCCGAUGUCAGAUUAGGUAGUUGGUGGGGUAAAGGCUCACCAAGCCAACGAUCAGUAGCUGGUCUGAGAGGACGACCAGCCACACUGGGACUGAGACACGGCCCAGACUCCUACGGGAGGCAGCAGUGGGGAAUUUUGGACAAUGGACGCAAGUCUGAUCCAGCCAUGCCGCGUGCGGGAAGAAGGCCUUCUGGUUGUAAACCGCUUUUGUCAGGGAAGAAACGCUCUGGGUUAAUACCUCGGGGUAAUGACGGUACCUGAAGAAUAAGCACCGGCUAACUACGUGCCAGCAGCCGCCGUAAGAC